ACUCCUACGGGAGGCAGCAGUAGGGAAUCUUCCACAAUGGGCGCAAGCCUGAUGGAGCAACACCGCGUGAGUGAAGAAGGGUUUCGGCUCGUAAAGCUCUGUUGUUAAAGAAGAACACGUAUGAGAGUAACUGUUCAUACGUUGACGGUAUUUAACCAGAAAGUCACGGCUAACUACGUGCCAGCAGCCGCGGUAAUACGUAGGUGGCAAGCGUUAUCCGGAUUUAUUGGGCGUAAAGAGAGUGCAGGCGGUUUUCUAAGUCUGAUGUGAAAGCCUUCGGCUUAACCGGAGAAGUGCAUCGGAAACUGGAUAACUUGAGUGCAGAAGAGGGUAGUGGAACUCCAUGUGUAGCGGUGGAAUGCGUAGAUAUAUGGAAGAACACCAGUGGCGAAGGCGGCUACCUGGUCUGCAACUGACGCUGAGGCUCGAAAGCAUGGGUAGCGAACAGGAUUAGAUACCCUGGUAGGAUAGCG
rnacentral:rRNA from 1 species